rnacentral:rRNA from 1 species
CCUACGGGAGGCUGCAGUGAGGAAUAUUGGUCAAUGGACGGAAGUCUGAACCAGCCAUGCCGCGUGCAGGAAGACGGCUCUAUGAGUUGUAAACUCCUUUUGUUCAAGGGUUAACCUGAAUACGUGUAUUCAGCUGAAAGUACUGUACGAUUAAGGAUCGGCGAACUCCGUGCCAGCAGCCGCGGUAAUACGGAGGAUCCAAGCGUUAUCCGGAUGUAUUGGGUUUAAAGGGUGCGUAGGCGGAUUGAUAAGUUAGAAGUGAAAUGUCCGAGCUUAACUCGGGAACUGCCACUAAUACUGUUGAGCUAGAGAGUAGUAGCGGUAGGCGGAAUGUAUGGUGUAGCGGUGAAAUGCUUAGAGAUCAUACAGAACACCGAUGGCGAAGGCAGCUUACCAAUCUAUAUCUGACGUUGAGGCACGAAAGCGUGGGGAGCAAACAGGAUUAGAUACCCCAGUAGUC